UACAGAGGUCUCAAGCGUUGUUCGGAUUCAUUGGGCGUAAAGGGUGCGUAGGCGGCGCGGUAAGUCGGGUGUGAAAUCUCGGGGCUUAACUCCGAAACUGCAUUCGAUACUGCCGUGCUUGAGGACUGGAGAGGAGACUGGAAUUUACGGUGUAGCGGUGAAAUGCGUAGAUAUCGUAAGGAAGACCAGUGGCGAAGGCGGGUCUCUGGACAGUUCCUGACGGCUGGAGGCACGAAGGUCAGGGGAGCAAACGGG
rnacentral:rRNA from 1 species